rnacentral:rRNA from 1 species
GACGAACGCUGGCGGCGUGCUUAACACAUGCAAGUCGAACGGAAAGGCCCUGCUUUUGUGGGGUGCUCGAGUGGCGAACGGGUGAGUAACACGUGAGUAACCUGCCCUUGACUUUGGGAUAACUUCAGGAAACUGGGGCUAAUACCGGAUAGGAGCUCCUGCUGCAUGGUGGGGGUUGGAAAGUUUCGGCGGUUGGGGAUGGACUCGCGGCUUAUCCGCUUGUUGGUGGGGUAGUGGCUUACCAAGGCUUUGACGGGUAGCCGGCCUGAGAGGGUGACCGGCCACAAGGGGACUGAGAUACGGCCCAGACUCCUACGGGAGGCAGCAGUGGGGAAUAUUGCACAAUGGGGGGAAGCCUGAUGCAGCAACGCCGCGUGCGGGAUGACGGCCUUCGGGUUGUAAACCGCUUUCGCCUGUGACGAAGCGUGAGUGACGGUAAUGGGUAAAGAAGCACCGGCUAACUACGUG